rnacentral:rRNA from 1 species
UACGAAGGGGGCUAGCGUUGCUCGGAAUCACUGGGCGUAAAGCGUACGUAGGCGGCUUGUUAAGUCGGGGGUGAAAUCCUGGAGCUCAACUCCAGAACUGCCUUCGAUACUGGCGAUCUCGAGUCCGGGAGAGGUGAGUGGAGCUCCGAGUGUAGAGGUGAAAUUCGUAGAUAUUCGGAAGAACACCAGUGGCGAAGGCGGCUCACUGGCCCGGUACUGACGCUGAGGUGCGAAAGCGUGGGGAGCAAACAGG